AUUGAACGCUGGCGGCAUGCCUUACACAUGCAAGUCGAACGGCAGCGCGGGAGCAAUCCUGGCGGCGAGUGGCGAACGGGUGAGUAAUAUAUCGGAACGUGCCCAGUAGUGGGGGAUAGCCCGGCGAAAGCCGGAUUAAUACCGCAUGAGACCUGAGGGUGAAAGCGGGGGAUCGCAAGACCUCGCGCUAUUGGAGCGGCCGAUAUCAGAUUAGCUAGUUGGCGGGGUAAAGGCCCACCAAGGCGACGAUCGAUAGCUGGUCUGAGAGGAUGAUCAGCCACACUGGAACUGAGACACGGUCCAGACUCCUACGGGAGGCAGCAGUAGGGAAUAUUGGACAAUGGGGGCGAACCCUCGAUCCAGCCAUGCCGCGUGAGUGAAGAAGGCCCUCGGGUUGUAAAGCUCUUUUGUCCGGAAGAAAAGACAUUCGGUUAAUACCCGGUGUUCUGACGGUACCGGAAGAAUAAGCACCGGCUAACUUCGUGCCAGCAGC
rnacentral:rRNA from 1 species